ensembl:lncRNA
GCAGGAGGGCCUAGAGGAGCCAUCCCACGUUGAAGAUCAGGAAGGGCGGCAGUGAGGAGAUACCCCUCAUCCAAGAAACCUGAUACGGGACACUGAGAGGUGGAGAUGAAGUAAAGCCUUAAUACUGAUGGGAGAAGUGGCUUCAGAUGUGUGGCCUGCUCUUCAGUCAGGAGGCUGUGGUCCCUGUAGAACCAUUGGGAGCCCUGCAACCUGCCCGAGUAGGGGGCCCUGCUCCACUCAGCCCAUGGAGCAUGAACUUUGUGAAUGGCUAACUUUGAACUGUGGUGUUGGAGAAGACUCUUGAGAGUCCCUUGGACUGCAAGGAGAUCCAACCAGUCCACUCUGAAGGAGAUCAGCCCUGGGAUUUCUUUGGAAGGAAUGAUGCUAAAGCUGAAACUCCAGUACUUUGGCC